AGUUAAUAGAUAUCCAGUCACUCACAGGCUGGGUAAAGAAUGGGCAGCAUGCUCAACAUGUCCUGACACCAAGUAAUACCGCAAAUGUACUGUACGGACACAUGGCCCAAGAAUGAAGAAGCUAAGUUCAGGGCCAGCCCAUUUACUCAAGAUCCAGAUGUUCUGGGUAUUGGACUGUCCCACCACGUUCAAAGUCUCCCCUACAAACACGCCAGACUCCAUAUGUUUCCUUCUGCCCCAACACAUGCGGCAUCUGCCUUCACUCAAUGAUGCUGACCCUUGACCUUUGACCCCUGGAGUCUGGGUCACCUUUCCACAUGCCUGCUUGUCUGAUCCAUUCGUAAUUGCACUGGAGGAACUGUCACCUGCAGCUCAGAUUGCUGCAUCGGCGUGAAGGUAAUCUCUGCUUCUGCAGCCCAUACUCACUCGCUGACGCGUUUGUCUCGCCUCCACCGGUGAAAUGACUACACAAAUAGAAACAUGAUGAUUUGAUUGAGGGUCGUAAACGCUACCUGCCACGUGUGGCUGAGUGGAGCUCCCGGGCUGCUGCACUGACCCCUUGAUUGAAUCAGUAUUUCAUACUUGUGCUGUCAUCUCGCAGAGGAAAUAUAAUGACACAGUAUGCCAUAAAAGAAGUAUCCUAAGACACAAAGGGGACCGUGCAGGAGAGUUUGAAGUCUGCCAACGCCUGACAAUCAAACAUUUGUUGGAGUGGUUCUAAAGCUAAAAGACUAGUUCAGUUUCAUUUAUUUUAUUGAAUUCACUGAUUCACACAUG